AUUCUUUCUCUAGUUGUUGAUCUUUGUCUAAGGUCAAGUUUAACAUCUGUUCUUAUCAAUUAGAUAUCUUUUACAUCCUUGACUUGAAGAUGUCAUAUUAAACAGAUUUUUGGGACCAAAAGACGUGUUAAAACUUUUUCUGUCCUAUGCAUCUGUCUGUUAUUGCAGUGUCUCCAGAAGCAGCACACCAA
rfam:Podiceps cristatus contig28786, whole genome shotgun sequence.